UGACGGAGCAAUACCGCGUGAGGGAGGAAGGCUUUUGGGUUGUAAACCUCUUUUAUUAAGGAAGAAGAAAGUGACGGUACUUAAUGAAUCAGCAUCGGCUAACUCCGUGCCAGCAGCCGCGGUAAUACGGAGGAUGCAAGCGUUAUCCGGAAUCAUUGGGCGUAAAGCGUCCGCAGGUGGUUCAUCGUGUCUGCUGUUAAAGACAGAAGCUCAACUUCUGAAAGGCAGUGGAAACUGGUGAACUAGAGUACGGUAGGGGUUGAGGGAAUUCCCAGUGUAGCGGUGAAAUGCGUAGAUAUUGGGAAGAACACCAGUGGCGAAGGCGCUCAACUGGGCCGUAACUGACACUCAGGGACGAAAGCUAGGGUAGCGAAAGGGAUUAGAUACCCCUGUAGUC
rnacentral:rRNA from 1 species